rnacentral:rRNA from 1 species
UAGCUAGUUGGUAGGGUAAGGGCCUACCAAGGCGACGAUCGGUAGCUGGUCUGAGAGGAUGGCCAGCCACACUGGAACUGAGACACGGUCCAGACUCCUACGGGAGGCAGCAGUGGGGAAUAUUGGACAAUGGGGGCAACCCUGAUCCAGCAAUGCCGCGUGUGUGAAGAAGGCCUGAGGGUUGUAAAGCACUUUCAGUAGGGAGGAGGGUUGAUUGGUUAAGAGCUGAUUGACUGGACGUUACCUACAGAAGAAGCACCGGCUAACUCCGUGCCAGCAGCCGCGGUAAUACGGAGGGUGCGAGCGUUAAUCGGAAUUACUGGGCGUAAAGCGUGCGUAGGUGGUUGAAUAAGUUAUCCGUGAAAUCCCUGGGCUUAACCUGGGCAGGUCAGAUGAUACUGUUUGACUCGAGUAUGGGAGAGGGUAGUGGAAUUUCCGGUGUAGCGGUGAAAUGCGUAGAGAUCGGAAGGAACACCAGUGGCGAAGGCGGCUACCUGGCCUAAUACUGACACUGAGGCACGAAAGCGUGGGGAGCAAACAGGAUUAGAUACCCUGGUAGUCCACGCCGUAAACGAUGUCAACUAGCUGUUGGUUAUAUGAAAAUAAUUAGUGGCGC